AGAUUGAACGCUGGCGGCGUGCUUAACACAUGCAAGUCGAGCGGUAACGCGGGAGCAAUCCUGGCGACGAGCGGCGAACGGGUGAGUAAUGCUUGGGAAUCUGCCCAUUAGUGGGGAACAACCAGCCGAAAGGUUGGCUAAUACCGCAUACGCCCUACGGGGGAAAGCGGGGGAUCGAAAGACCUCGCGCUAAUGGAUGAGCCCAAGUCGGAUUAGCUUGUUGGUAGGGUAACGGCCUACCAAGGCGACAAUCCGUAGCUGGUCUGAGAGGACGACCAGCCACACUGGGACUGAGACACGGCCCAGACUCCUACGGAGGCAGCAGUGGGGAAUAUUGGACAAUGGGGGCAACCCUGAUCCAGCGACGCCGCGUGUGUGAAGAAGGCCUGCGGGUUGUAAAGCUCUUUCGCUAGGGACGAUAAUGACGGUACCUAGACAAGAAGCCCCGGCUAACUUCGUGCCAGCAGCCGC
rnacentral:rRNA from 1 species